GCAGGUUUACCUGUCGGGGUUGCGGGACUUAGAUAUGACAUGCGGCCGGUUAGCACAACCGUCUGGGAAGUCGGGCCAUAGAGGGUGACAGCCCCCUGUGCGAAAACUGAAAGCAGUCUAUAAGUAUCCCAAGUAGGUCGGCACACGUGAAACUCCGACUGAAUCCGGGGAGACCACUCUCCAAGGCUAAAUACUAGCUGAUGACCGAUAGUGAAACAGUACCGCGAGGGAAAGGUGAAAAAGUACCCCUUUUAGGGGAGUGAAAAGUAUCUGAAAUCAUGUGCCUGCAAAGUGUGGGAGCCCUUCUGGGGUGACCGCAUGCCUUUUGCAUAAUGAGCUUGCGACUUACUUUAAGCAGCCAGGUUAAGCCAUAGGCGGAGCCGAAGCGAAAGCGAGUGUUAAUAGCGCGUCAAGUUGCUUGAAGUAGACCCGAAGCUGAGUGAUCUAUCCAUGGUCAGGUUGAACCUCCGGUAACACGGAGUGGAGGACCGAACCGGUGAGCGUUGAAAAGCUUUCGGAUGAACUGUGGAUAGGAGCGAAAGACCAAUCAAACUCAGUGAUAGCUGGUUCUCUUCGAAAUAUCUUGAGGGAUAGCCUUACGCCAUUGACUUACGGGGGUAGAGCACUGAUUGUCCGCGGGUCCUUACCGGGAUACCAACGACUGUCAAACUUCGAAUACCGUUAAGUUUUACCGUAGGAGUCAGACUGUGGGGGAUAAGCUUCAUAGUCGAGAGGGAAACAACCCAGAUCGCCGUCUAAGGUCCCUAAUUUAAGCUAAGUGGUUUGAAGGAUGUGAAGUUGCGUAAACAACCAGGAUGUUGGCUUAGAGGCAGCCAUCAUUUAAAGAUCGCGUAAUAGCGCACUGGUCGAGUGAUUUUGCGCCGAAGAUGAUCGGGACUAAGCUUAAAACCGAAGACGCGGAUGUACAGCAAUGUACGUGGUAGAAGAGCGUUGUAUGAGGAGCGAAGCGUGAAUGAGAAUGAGCGUGGACUUCAUACAAGUGACCAUGCAAGCAUGAGUAGCGAAAAACCGGAUGGAAAUUCCGGUCACCGUAAGACCAAGGUUUCCCGGGGAAGGUUCGUCCGCCCGGGGUUAGCCGGAUCCUAAGGCCAGGCCGAAAGGCGUAGUCGAUGGACAACGGGUUAAUAUUCCCGUGCCGCCUUAACGGAGUGACGGAGUGACGCAGUAUGCUAAGCGAGCUGGCUAUAUGCCAGUCUAAUGUCGUAGGACGUCAGGGGUUAAAUGACCUGACAUCAAGUCUGAAAACGGAUGGGACUCGAAGCCUUCGGGUAACGGGGAUUCGCUGAUGCUUUGCUGACGAGAAAAGCUCCUAAACGUUGAUGUUUUGGCGUCCGUACCGUAAACCGACACAGGUGGUCGAGGCGAGUAGCCUAAGGUGCGCGAGUGAAACCACUUCAAGGAACUCGGCAAAUUAGCCCCGUAACUUUGGGAGAAGGGGUGCCGAACGGGUGCAUAGCCCGGACGGUUUCAACAAAGAGGCCGCGGCGACUGUUUAACAAAAACAUAGCUCUCUGCUAACUCGCAAGAGGAUGUAUAGGGAGUGACACGUGACCAAUGCCGAAAGGUCAAUCGGAUCCGUUAGCAGCAAUGCGAAGCGGUGAUGUGAAGCCCCGGUGAAUGUCGGCCGUAACUAUAACGGUCCUAAGGUAGCGAAAUUCCUUGUC
rnacentral:rRNA from 1 species